rnacentral:lncRNA from 1 species
UCUCUGCUCUCUCUGGCUCCCUCUCUCUUUCUAGCUUUCUCUCUUCUUUCGUCAGACACACUCUGUGGCAAACUUAAGCCCCAAACCACAACCUUGAGAAAUUCCAAAUGGAUUUUGUCAGCAAGGCCAACACCCCCUCCCCACCCCUGCUCCCGGCACACGCGCUGGGCUCAGGCCCAGGCCUGGGGUCAGUGACGGGAGUGGGAGUGUGCAACCCACAGAGCGGGUGGCUAAAAUUUCAGCUUUUACUGAGCUCCAGUGGCAGCCAGAGGGAGGGAGAAAGACUGAGGAGCUGUAAGUCAGGCUUCUUGGCUUCCUUCAGCUCUGGCCCAGCUCUUCUCCCCUUAGCCUUUCAAGUAGCAGGGAAGCUGGAGGGUGGCUGGCUCAUUGCCAGUUGGGAAGCACCCCUCCUGUCUGUGCUCCUGUUUGCUCCGUGGGAAGCACCCAGUAAUGCUGCAACAGACACUUUCCUCUCCAGACUCCAAAAGAAUCAGGGACAAAAGGGCCUCGAGAUUCUCCAGGUUCCAUUCAUCAGUUCUGACUCAAAUACCAUGUUACUGACGGCUAACCAUAUUCGACUGUUACCAUUCCAUCCUUCCGUUACACUUGGGACCCAACCUUGAGAAGAUCCGAGGUCUUCAGAAGGAACACUGACAUGUGUCACGUCCUGUUGGAGUUCCACAAGGCAAUGCUGGUACUGCUGAGACACUAGCAAGGGCCAUUGCAAAGCAUUCAUUUUGGUGAUCAGUGUGUGGGCAUAAUCUGGUUGGGUGUGCCUAGAAAAUUCUAGAGAAAGGGAUGGAAAGAGUAAGCAUGUGGAGGUAUCAAAGGGCCCACUCUAGGAGUCUCUAAUCACCCUGGAGGAGUCUUCUGCCAUUUAAAACACAGAGCUUAGGAGGGAAAAGGCCCUUAAUGGCGACAGCCCAGAACAGAUACAGCUCUCUUUGUCACAAACGUGCUCUUUGUUGUCCGCCUCAUCCUUCAGCAUUUUAAAUUCAGGUCUUCUUGGCGUCGCAUUCUAGGGUUGUGUUCUUCUCCGGGUUAAAAUACAAGAGAAAAGAAAGUGGGAUAUGAGGAAGGGACUGGCGAAUGCAUACACAAGGGAUUGAUGGGGACAAGGGGUAGACAUAGUUUAGCUAUCGACCAGUCUAGUUCUUCUUGGAAGGAGACAAGAAACAAGGCAAAAAAAAAAAAAAAAAA